rnacentral:lncRNA from 1 species
GAGAAACUUUAUGUACAAAAUCAGGCAGCAGGACAGAUUUGACAGAAUAAUAAUAGUUUGUAGACUGCUGAUAUAGUGGAAAGAGUUCAAAUGGAGUUUGAUUCUGGCUUUGCUAUUCUAGCGGAGUAUGUGUGGGAAAAAUGCUUUAUUUAGAUUUGAUGUAGUUUUCUUUUCUGUAAAAUAGUAAUAGUAAAACCUACUUCACAUGAAGACUCAUCUAUGAAGCUAAAUGUGGCAAGCUAUCUGGCACCUAAUAGGUACCUAAUAAAUCAUAACUAUAGUAAUUAUCAUUAUUACUGUAUUAUUACUUUAAUUUCUUAAGUUUUUGGGGGAUGUUUGCUGUCUAACUCGUGUAUUUACAGUAAACUAAUAAGUGCUGUUGAGGGAAGCAGAAUUGUUUUGCUGGUUCAUCAUGGAAGUUUCUUUUACUAGACCUAGAAAGCCACUUGAGAGCUUUUUGUUACUUAUUUCUUACCAUUGAAUGAAUACCAUUCUCUUUCAGUUCUACUUUCUCCAUUUCAAGUCUUGUUUGAAAGAAUUGUGUAGAUAUGGGUGCAUGUGUUUGCUUUUCUCCUUUAUUUUCUUUGUUGGGUAAUUGUGCGCAUGUUGAUUGGCUUCAAGUAUGGCUUUCACUAUCUCCAUGACAAUAAGCUUCUAUUGACUUGAAUUUGGACCAGCCCCUGUUGCUCUGUGAGUGGGAUCAUCUGGGUGUGUCAGGCUUCUCUGUGGUGGCAGGAGGGGGUGGCUGCACCUGUUUUACUUGUGGAGCGUUGGCACCAACGUUGCAAGUGCUUUUCUGUGUAUUUGGUUUUUUUCUUCUUUGUGAAAGGUCACUGGCUGAUUUGAGUGACUGAGCUGAGUCCCACAUCCUGAGUAUGCCACACUGGCUUUCUUUCUGUGGCAUUCUGCCUCAUUUCUAGAGAUGAGUUUGGUUCAUAGAGUGAAACUGUUUUUUAUUUUUAUGACUUCUCCUAGAAGGAGAGAAGGUCAUGAUUACCCCUGAGUGUCGAAAAUCAUUAAAGACACGAAUUUAAGGUGCAUUUUGUGACUAAAGAAGAAAAGUGUACUUUAUCAUGAUGAAAAGCAGCCACAGAAUAGGGUCCAGGUUGUUGGCUUAACCACAAUGUAAGUGAUACAGUUAACACACAGCUUUCAAUUCCUGCUGGUGGAAGGGAUGGUCAGUCCUUUCCUUCUCCUUUUUCUUGAAUCCCUUUCCUACUUUUGCUUCUUCUUCUCUUUUCCUAAAACGAAGAGUAAAGACAAAUUAUAGCAGAUCAGUGUUGUGUUGGUAUAGGGCAGGAAAUCUAUUUAAUAACAAAAAUUGUGUCAAAUUCACUUUUCUAUUUUGAAUUGAAAUUAUAAUGUACAUGGACUAAUUAGAUUGAAGACUCUAAACAUGAAGAUAAUAUUCAUGAAGUAUCUAUUGAGAAAAGGCUUGAAACGAUACCAUGUAGGUACAACAUUAAAAAUCUUCAUACACUGCACAUUUGCAUACAAGAAGGCAAUUUUUUUUGGUAGGUAAAAUGAACACUCCAAGCACAUAGAAAAGAAAAAUUAUAAAAAAUUCAAUUUCAGUCAAUAUAAUUCUGGAGGUAUAAUAUAGCACUUAAGAUUGGUCUAUAGUUUAAAUUAUUUUUUUCUGUUUGUUUUCUUUUACUUCUAC